GAUGAAGAACGUAGCGAAAUGCGAUAAGUAAUGUGAAUUGCAGAAUUCAGUGAAUCAUCGAAUCUUUGAACGCACAUUGCGCCGUCUGGUAAUCCGGGGGGCAUGCCUGUUCGAGCGUCAUUAUAACCACUCAAGCUCUCGCUUGGUAUUGGGGCUCGCGGUUCCGCGGCCCCUAAAAUCAGUGGCGGUGCCUGUCGGCUCUACGCGUAGUAAUACUCCUCGCGAUUGAGUCCGGUAGGUCUACUUGCCAGCAACCCCCAAUUUUUACAGGUUGACCUCGGAUCAGGUAGGGAUACCCGCUGAACUUAAGCAUAUCAAUAAGCGGAGGA
rnacentral:misc_RNA from 1 species